UGGGACGUAGCUCAGUUGGCAGAUCAUCUGGCUUAUAUCCAGCGUGUCGAGGGUUCGAGUCCUUCCGUCCCGA
rnacentral:tRNA from 1 species